AGCACUUGGUGUGUGUUUGCUCCACUGCUGGAGAAUGGCACAAAAGACAAGUGCCUUAGAGCAUAAACCCUUUGUUACCCAGAACUCAUGGUUCAGUGUGAGUUUUGAUACGUCCAAGAAGGAAC
rnacentral:snoRNA from 1 species